GUAACUGUACAGGCUGCUGGCAGGCACACACCUGGGAGCCCAUGUUGCUGGAGGAAGCCCAUCUCCAUUAUCACCUCCAGCUGUGGCCACACUGCAGCCCCAAACCAUCUGAUGCUAGCAGAGAACCUUGGGAAGGGAGGGCGUUAUGAAAAGGAAGGGAAGGAGGAAGAUGUGAAAAACAAAAUCCAAGUCUAAAAUUGUUGGUGUGGAGUCUACGGGCUGAAUUUUACAUAAGAUGCACCCGUUUCCAAGGAACUCACCAAAGGGGUGCCAAAAAAUGCUUUGGGAUCCCUCGUUAAGAGCACUUCAACCCCUGUUUGACUCAGCUCCACUUCACUGAAGAAAGCAGGAGAGACAUUCAGAGCUCUUUUGAGAUAAUGGAGAGGAAACCCUGCAGAUGCAGUGACAGAAAUGGCAAUUACAGCAACACCGGAGCAGAGAUGUCUCCAUCAAUUACAUCACGCUCAGGUGUUGGGAGCUGCAGAUUUGGAAAAGGUACCCUGGGAGAUGGAACCUCAGAAGGAAAAGCAGCUCCCAGAUGGGACCAUGAUGUUCAAACCCCUUUGCAAGGUGAAGGAUUCUGUGCUGGCAGAUGUGAGGAAGAAUCCUGGCCAGUGGGAUACAGAGCAAGUUGUGUACGGUGCGGAGCAAGAAAGGUUCAGCCACUGCAGACUCCCAUGGCAUGGAAGAUCGUUUCCCUGUCGAUCUCAGGAAGCUUCACCGCUCCAAGUGAGCUCAGCUUUCUCUGCAAGCACUGGUAAUGCUGGAGCCAGGGCUGGCUGGCUGUCACUACUCAAGCACUGCAGUUUGGUUAAAUAAUUCCCUGGAAGGACAAACUCAGGGCUGUAACUCAGCUCGACAAGGCGAGAUACCCAGCACCAGUGCAUAAUGGUCUUUUUGCAUAAUGAUGCUUGAUUAUUGUUUGAUUAUUUUAGACUUGAGCUGUGCUUUCCUCUUCCAUCUGCCUCUUAACUUGCUGCUUGUGAGGCUGGGUGAGAGUGCGCACCAGUGCUUCCUUCUUAGGAGGUACAAUUUUUGGAGCUGCUUCUACUUUUGCUCUAGGAGCUUUGAGCAAAAAAAAAAAAAAAAUAGAAU